UACAGAGGUCUCGAGCGUUGUUCGGAUUCAUUGGGCGUAAAGGGUGCGUAGGCGGCGCGGUAAGUCGGGUGUGAAAUCUCGGAGCUUAACUCCGAAACUGCAUUCGAUACUACCGUGCUUGAGGACUGGAGAGGAGACUGGAAUUUACGGUGUAGCGGUGAAAUGCGUAGAUAUCGUAAGGAAGACCAGUGGCGAAGGCGGGUCUCUGGACAGUUCCUGACGCUGAGGCACGAAGGCCAGGGGAGCAAACGGG
rnacentral:rRNA from 1 species